ACAAUAUGUCUCUGUUCCUUCAAUAGUAUAUUGAGCCUCAUUCCCUUUACCAAUUGAAUCAGCAUUGACAUUACAAAUCUGAGCUUGAAUAAACAAGCUCAAGACAACUCAAUGAAAAAACGCUGCCUCCUGACACAAUCCAGAAAUGGAAGUCAUUCCAGUGUCUCCACUUCUUCUUAAUGGAGCUUCUCCUAUAUCCCUUAAAUAUAGCCGAAUCAUACAUAACACCGCUCACAAGAACAGUGGUCUGUGGUACUGCUACCUCCUU